UCCCUUCUAAGCACCUCAUGGUGCUGUUUCCAUCUGGCCUUCUAGGAAGGAGCUGUGUUGGAAAUCAGCUAUUUUGUAAUCUCAGUAAACGCAGUGGAUGGGUGGUUUCUUAAUCUUCCCAACAAAUUCCUGUGAUACAGAGAA